CUGAUAAAAUAUGUGUGCUUAAUUAUUAUAUUAUACAUGUAUAAUAAUUCAAUAUAUUUAUAUUAUUUUAUUGUUAUUAUUAAAAGUAUUUAUUACUUUUUUGGCGUAAUGGCUUUUUGAAGAUUAGAUUGUUGUUUUGUUAAUAACCAAACAAGUCUACGAUCUGUAGCUGGUCUGAGAGGAUGUACAGUCACAUUGGGGAUGAGAAAAGACCCGAGUUCCUAUAUGGAGGCAGCAGUGGGGAAUAUUGGACAAUGAGCGCAAGCUUGAUCCAGUAAUAUUGCGUGAGUGAUCUAGAAGGUUAAUUAUUGUAAAACUCUUUUAUAGUUGAUUAUAAUGAAGUUAAACUAUGAAUAAGCCCUGGCUAACAUUCGUGCCAGCAGUCGCGGUAAUACGGAGGGG
rnacentral:rRNA from 1 species